ACGUAGGGCGCGAGCGUUGUCCGGAUUUAUUGGGCGUAAAGAGCUCGUAGGCGGCUUUGCAAGUCGGGUGUGAAAUCCCCAGGCUUAACCUGGGAACUGCAUUCGAGACUGCAUUGCUAGAGUAUGGGAGAGGGAAGUGGAAUUUCCGGUGUAGCGGUGAAAUGCGUAGAUAUCGGAAGGAACAUCAGUGGCGAAAGCGACUUCCUGGACCACAACUGACGCUGAGGCGCGAAAGCUAGGGGAGCAAACAGGA
rnacentral:rRNA from 1 species